rnacentral:rRNA from 1 species
GGUUAAGCGACUAAGCGUACACGGUGGAUGCCCUGGCAGUCAGAGGCGAUGAAGGACGUGCUAAUCUGCGAAAAGCGUCGGUAAGGUGAUAUGAACCGUUAUAACCGGCGAUGUCCGAAUGGGGAAACCCAGUGUGAUUCGUCACACUAUCGUUAACUGAAUACAUAGGUUAACGAGGCGAACCGGGGGAACUGAAACAUCUAAGUACCCCGAGGAAAAGAAAUCAACCGAGAUUCCCCCAGUAGCGGCGAGCGAACGGGGAGCAGCCCAGAGUCUGAAUCAGCUUGUGUGUUAGUGGAACGGUCUGGAAAGUCCGACGGUACAGGGUGAUAGUCCCGUACACCAAAAUGCACAGGCUGUGAACUCGAAGAGUAGGGCGGGACACGUGGUAUCCUGUCUGAAUAUGGGGGGACCAUCCUCCAAGGCUAAAUACUCCUGACUGACCGAUAGUGAACCAGUACCGUGAGGGAAAGGCGAAAAGAACCCCGGCGAGGGGAGUGAAAAAGAACCUGAAACCGUGUACGUACAAGCAGUGGGAGCACCUUCGGGUGUGACUGCGUACCUUUUGUAUAAUGGGUCAGCGACUUAUAUUCUGUAGCAAGGUUAACCGUAUAGGGGAGCCGCAGGGAAACCGAGUCUUAACUGGGCGUUAAGUUGCAGGGUAUAGACCCGAAACCCGGUGAUCUAGCCAUGGGCAGGUUGAAGGUUGGGUAACACUAACUGGAGGACCGAACCGACUAAUGUUGAAAAAUUAGCGGAUGACUUGUGGCUGGGGGUGAAAGGCCAAUCAAACCGGGAGAUAGCUGGUUCUCCCCGAAAGCUAUUUAGGUAGCGCCUCGUGAAUUCAUCUUCGGGGGUAGAGCACUGUUUCGGCUAGGGGGUCAUCCCGACUUACCAACCCGAUGCAAACUACGAAUACCGAAGAAUGUUAUCACGGGAGACACACGGCGGGUGCUAACGUCCGUCGUGAAGAGGGAAACAACCCAGACCGCCAGCUAAGGUCCCAAAGUCAUGGUUAAGUGGGAAACGAUGUGGGAAGGCACAGACAGCCAGGAUGUUGGCUUAGAAGCAGCCAUCAUUUAAAGAAAGCGUAAUAGCUCACUGGUCGAGUCGGCCUGCGCGGAAGAUGUAACGGGGCUAAACCAUGCACCGAAGCUGCGGCAGCGACACUAUGUGUUGUUGGGUAGGGGAGCGUUCUGUAAGCCUGCGAAGGUGUGCUGUGAGGCAUGCUGGAGGUAUCAGAAGUGCGAAUGCUGACAUAAGUAACGAUAAAGCGGGUGAAAAGCCCGCUCGCCGGAAGACCAAGGGUUCCUGUCCAACGUUAAUCGGGGCAGGGUGAGUCGACCCCUAAGGCGAGGCCGAAAGGCGUAGUCGAUGGGAAACAGGUUAAUAUUCCUGUACUUGGUGUUACUGCGAAGGGGGGACGGAGAAGGCUAUGUUAGCCGGGCGACGGUUGUCCCGGUUUAAGCAUGUAGGCUGGUUAUCCAGGCAAAUCCGGAUAAUCAAGGCUGAGGUGUGAUGACGAGGCACUACGGUGCUGAAGUAACAAAUGCCCUGCUUCCAGGAAAAGCCUCUAAGCAUCAGGUAACAUCAAAUCGUACCCCAAACCGACACAGGUGGUCAGGUAGAGAAUACCAAGGCGCUUGAGAGAACUCGGGUGAAGGAACUAGGCAAAAUGGUGCCGUAACUUCGGGAGAAGGCACGCUGGUGUGUAGGUGAAGCCCCUGCGGGUGGAGCUGAGACCAGUCGAAGAUACCAGCUGGCUGCAACUGUUUAUUAAAAACACAGCACUGUGCAAACACGAAAGUGGACGUAUACGGUGUGACGCCUGCCCGGUGCCGGAAGGUUAAUUGAUGGGGUUAUCCGUAAGGAGAAGCUCUUGAUCGAAGCCCCGGUAAACGGCGGCCGUAACUAUAACGGUCCUAAGGUAGCGAAAUUCCUUGUCGGGUAAGUUCCGACCUGCACGAAUGGCGUAAUGAUGGCCAGGCUGUCUCCACCCGAGACUCAGUGAAAUUGAACUCGCUGUGAAGAUGCAGUGUACCCGCGGCAAGACGGAAAGACCCCGUGAACCUUUACUAUAGCUUGACACUGAACAUUGAGCCUUGAUGUGUAGGAUAGGUGGGAGGCUUUGAAGCGUGGACGCCAGUCUGCGUGGAGCCAACCUUGAAAUACCACCCUUUAAUGUUUGAUGUUCUAACGUUGGCCCCUUAUCGGGGUUGCGGACAGUGUCUGGUGGGUAGUUUGACUGGGGCGGUCUCCUCCCAAAGCGUAACGGAGGAGCACGAAGGUUAGCUAAUCCUGGUCGGACAUCAGGAGGUUAGUGCAAUGGCAUAAGCUAGCUUGACUGCGAGCGUGACGGCGCGAGCAGGUGCGAAAGCAGGUCAUAGUGAUCCGGUGGUUCUGAAUGGAAGGGCCAUCGCUCAACGGAUAAAAGGUACUCCGGGGAUAACAGGCUGAUACCGCCCAAGAGUUCAUAUCGACGGCGGUGUUUGGCACCUCGAUGUCGGCUCAUCACAUCCUGGGGCUGAAGUAGGUCCCAAGGGUAUGGCUGUUCGCCAUUUAAAGUGGUACGCGAGCUGGGUUUAGAACGUCGUGAGACAGUUCGGUCCCUAUCUGCCGUGGGCGCUGGAGAAUUGAGGGGGGCUGCUCCUAGUACGAGAGGACCGGAGUGGACGCAUCACUGGUGUUCGGGUUGUCAUGCCAAUGGCACUGCCCGGUAGCUAAAUGCGGAAGAGAUAAGUGCUGAAAGCAUCUAAGCACGAAACUUGCCCCGAGAUGAGUUCUCCCUGAGACUUUAAGUCUCCUGAAGGAACGUUAAAGACGAUGACGUUGAUAGGCCGGGUGUGUAAGCGCAGCGAUGCGUUGAGCUAACCGGUACUAAUGAACCGUGAGGCUUAACCUU